CCUUCCUUGGAGUGUUUCUAGAGCUCGGAGGCUGCUGGUAGGGGGGCACCACUUUCAGAUAAAAACAUAGACCUGAAUGGCAUCAUCCAGUAUCCAAGGAAACCAUUGUGUCUGUAACCAGCUAAUGAGCUGCAACAGAGCCUGGCCUUCAUUUUCAGCAAAUUAAGUUCAUCCCUCAUAGGAAUUGUGGUCUGGCUGUGGCACCGCUCCUAGACCCACUUAUAUGUUAUCUCAUCAAGGAAAAUUUUCCCAUCCUCCCAAAGGAGAACAGAACUCCACUGUAGUGGAAUAAGUUUUUUGAGGUAUGAACCAAUGCUUCUGUCCUCCUAAUAUUCUUACAACCUCUAACCCGCCUCUGCAUUCAGGAAACCAGAAUACAUUAGGGAGGAGACAGCAAAGGAAAACAAAAGACAAUAAAGGAAUCGAUGUAUUUGUUUUGUAACUCAAAGUUAAAGUCCAAAUUUAGAAAAUAGAUUUGAAAGCAUAACGGGUCAAUUUCUGUUGUGCCUCUGAAGAAGAAAGUUGAGAAAGAACGAAGAGGGCUUAGAUGCUGGUGGGUGUCUGCAAAAAAGCCCAGACAAUGCCUGGAAUAAUAAAGAAGCAGAGAACUUCCAGGGAGGAAGGGAACAGUCUCUAAGAUGGAGCAGGACCUGGGGAAGUCUUGCUUCUCCACUGAAGAACAUGGACCAAGACCAGGGCAGAAGGGAUGGCAGCUUCCCCGUAGAGCAGUGAGGACGGAUGACGACAUGAAGACUGGACUGCUCAUUCUCACCUUCCCUUCACAGUCCCUGGCACUUUUUAAGCUCCUUGGAAAUUAGAGGCAAUCUAGGAGAAAGGGGGAUAGAAGCAGACCUUAUUUCUGUUACAAUGUGAAUGGGAGCUUCAAAUUGAAGAUAAAAUGUUAUGGAAAAAGUGAAAUUAUAUAUAUAUUUUGCACAUCGUAGCUUGGUGGCUUUAGGUUUCUGUGCAUCAAAGGAAGGAAUUGUGUCUUCCUCAUUGUCAUACUCUGGUAUUGGAGAUUGUGCAACAUAUAUAGUAGGUAUGCAAUAAACAGCUGUUAACAGAAUGAA
rnacentral:lncRNA from 1 species